AUGAAAAGAACUUUGAAAAGAGAGUUAAAGAGUACCUGAAAUUGCUGAAAGGGAAGCAAAGGAAACCAGUGUUGUUUUGGCUCAUUUUUCUCCUGCUGCUUGCAACAGGGGCGCUGUGAGUCCGAAUAGGCCAGCAUGGGUUUGAGUCGGGGCAAAUCGGUACAUUGGAGGUAGAUCUAUUUCAGAUUGAAGACUGUGUAUUGGUGCCCUGGUUUGGACUGAGGCUAGCAAGUGUGAUGCUGGCGAAAUGGUUUUCUUUACCCCGUCUUGAAACACGGACCAAGGAGUCUAAGAAAUUUGCGAGUAUAGGAGUGGCAAACUCCCAUGCGCAAUGAAAGUAACAGUGGUAGGACUCAUUUGAGGCACUAUCCGCCGGCCACAAUCCUUCGGGAGAAAGGUCUGAGUGUGAGCAUACUUCUUAGGACCCGAAAGAUGGUGAACUAUGCCUGAAUAGGGUGAAGCCAGGGGAAACUCUGGUGGAGGCUCGUAGCGGUUCUGACGUGCAAAUCGAUCGUCAAAUUUGGGUAUAGGGGCGAAAGACUAAUCGAACCAUCUAGUAGCUGGUUCCCUCCGAAAUUUCCCUCAGGAUAGCUGCAAUCGAAUGUUAUUUUUAUCA
rnacentral:rRNA from 1 species